UCCUUUAGCCUUUGCUCAUAUGGCUUGUAUUCCAUCCAUUUGCAUCCUUGUAUCUUCCACGUUACCUCCACCGUUUUAUCUAUUUUUAUGCUCUCCCACCUUAAGCUUUUUGCUAUAGCGACAGCCCCCAGCUGCUAAUGGCUGCAUGGGGGAACUAUUAGCUUGUUCAAAUUUGUAUGAGGUGUAAAGAAAGGGUGUCAACCAAUGUUUGGAAGCUAGGAACUUCACUUGAGAAUUGAGCAGAGGGAUGGAUGCCUGGAUAGGCUGAGCCCACUAUUUCUGUAGCCCUCUUAGCCACUGUCACUCAAGGAGCAAAGGAUCAUGUGCAAGUGAUAAACUGAGUCUCUUCUGGCUAAUGCAAAGCCAUUAUGUCUUGCUAAGAUAUUAGAGUCAUUCAUUAAAACAAAUCCAAAUAUCUAACAUGAAUUAAAACCAAAUAUACUUUAAAUCUUUCAUGCUAUUUAUUAGGAACAGAUUCCCUUCUGGUCUUCACUUAUAAUAGCUUCUGGAAUGCUACUGUAUAUAUAAUUUUAAAAAGCUAUGUAGAUGAAAGGGGAUUUUCUCUUGACACUUUAUAGUCCUGUCUUUCAGUGUAGAGCUGUUUUGCCUUAGACAUGUCUAAAUGAUAGCCUCAGAUAUUAUUUUCAAAUACAUUUUUCUUUGCAACUUAUCAGUAAAAUGUGAAGUUUGACACAUUAGUCACACAGGAAUUACUGUGACAAAAAGAGUAGAGAUCAAUUGCACUACAUGUAUUCUGAGAAACUUGGGAAAAGGCACCAUCUAGUGCGCUCUCUGUAGUAUUGAAAGAAACAUCUUGUGGCUAGUUACUUUCCUCCCAGUUCUGCCAAAGCUACAUUGAAGUUGUGAAGAAAUAAUAAAUAAAUAAAGUGAUGGUGCAGAUGGGUAAAUACCUUAUGUUUAAAAACAUUUAUGCAUACCAGUUAAUUUUUAACAACAUUUAAAAUCAAAUUUACUGCACAGCUGGGGUUGGCUUGGGUUAUGGGGGAUUGCAAGUAUCGGUUACAUUCAAGGUUCAUACAUAUCACAUAACCAGCAUAGAUUCAGAUUGGGGUGUGGGAGUUUUUAAAGCAUCAGUGGAUGUAUGCACUCAGGUAUGCCACCCAUGGAAUGUAUUAAGACUCCAAGUAGGUAUUGGUGUAGAGAAUAAGUACAUGGGUGGGGUGCGUUCCUUGGUUCGUCAGGGAAGGAAGUGGGUUAUUUCCCUGGUCAGCGUUCUCGGUUACUCGGCCUGGUACUGGCAGUGUCCUGUGAUGUGUUCCGUGUAGAUGUCUCUGGGUAGUACUCACCUGGCCUAAAGUUAGGCAGUUGAGUUGAGAAUUCUGAUGCUUAAAAUAUCACUUUAGCAACAGUAUUUUAUUGUAUAAUACCACCAGGAGGCAAAAUCUGCUGCUUGGAUAAGCAAGUGUGACUCCUGUCAUUGACAUCUGUUUAUACCAAUUGUGAAUUGGAUGAAGGGAAUGAAAAACAAGAUAUGACUUUCUAGUCAAGGACAUGGAUCCUGAACCGAUUCUCAAUAAAUAAGAUUUUAAAAAUAUUCUAGAUUGUAUUUAAUAAAAAGCCAAUAUAUUCUUAUUUUGAGAUGAUCCAUACCAUCUGCCUGACUUCCACUAGUGGGACAGUCUGGAAUAUAGUCCCCUACCUUGAUGCACAUGAAAAUGGAGAAAUAUGCUUACUCUUCCUCGCCCCCCUAGGUUUGAAUGAGAUGCCAAAUAUAUUCAGUUAACUUGCUUCUUUAUAGCUGACCAGUAUUCCUGGUCCAAAUAAAUGGACCUGUGUAACUACUGCUAGGAUAAAGCAACAGAGGGUCCUGUGGCACCUUUAAGACUAACAGAAGUAUUGGAGCAUAAGCUUUUGUGGGUAAGAACCUCACUUCUUCAGAUGCAAGUCAUGCUAGGAUGUAUGCAGAAAGGGGUUACUUUUGGACACACAUUACAGAAAACUUUAAAAUGGUAACAAACAGUUGUCAAUGCAAAACUAGUGCUAAAUUAAUUUUUAAAUAAAAAAUGCAACAUUUUUUAAAUGUUAAGAAGUCUAUGCAGGUUCUUAUGUGACUGAGUCACUGUAGUAUCUGAGUGCCUUCCAGAAAUGCACAAAGGACUAAGUGAUGUAACCGGCUACUUGCACCUACGAGUGUCCCAAAAAACAAAUAGCAAAACACAUACAAUACCAACAAAAGCACUUAUCAGAGUAUUUAUAUAGCCCUCUAUCAACCAAGCAACACUUAGCUCUAUCUAUGGUCUUUCACCUCCCAUUUCAGAAGCACACCAGUCUUAUGCUUUAGUAGUCCAUAACACUGUCCUCCAACUCCCUCAGCUCUCCUCCCCCAAAUUCAUAUAAGGGCCAGUCAUCUCCCUACUGGCCCACAGAUAAGAAUUAAUUACUAUUUGAUAAAUCAAAAGUGAACAUUCAAAAGGAAUGUUCAGUGUACAUUCUCACUACAGUAAUGGGAAGGGUUCUCCUUUCGCUGUAGUUAAUCCAUUUCCCAAGAGGCGGUAGCUAGGUCAACAGAAGACUUUUUCCAUCAAUCUAGCACUGUCUACACUUCCCUGCUCACUCACGACCCUGCAGACACCUUUUGACUCCCUGCAUGCUCUUUCUUCCAGCCCUUUGUCAGCUGGGCCCACUCAGUAGUUAAACCUGGAAUCACCCAAUUCUCUCAGAUGAGGCCCAUUCUGUAAUCAGGGCUGGCUUAGUCAGGGGCUCUCUAUCAUCAUCAUCUCAGAACUCUGGAUGAUCUAAGUGUUGAUCUCUAUCUAUAGAAAAGCAAUACAGCCUGUGUGCCUGGGAGAUCAUUCUCAUGGAAAUACCCAGAUGGUUUGUACUGAUUGACAAACUCACAAGAAGACUUAGUAACUAAGCUCUGGAUGCUACAACUACUGAGGUUAAGACAGGACAGUGGAAUCCCUCCUCUCUGCAGAUUCUUCCCACAGUGACUAACACUAGUGAAUGUAUUGCAUAACACAUCAAGCGUUAUGCAAUACAUUCACUCUAUUAUGAAAUACCAUGUGGGUUAAUUAAGCCCCAAUGGAGAAGAAAUGCUGGGGGGGAACCCAACGAAUGGAGACAAUAUCUCAAGGACCAGAGGGGACUAUUCUGAUUAUAUGUAUUUCUCAGAACAUGUCAUGACUUGCAUCUAGAUCAGUAAUACUCAGACUUCAGCUUGUGAGCCACAAGUGGCUUUUUGAUGCAUCUAUAUCAUACACUGG